rnacentral:rRNA from 1 species
UCUUUAUAGUUAUAAAUAUAAAGUCUUGCCUGCCCACUGAGUAUUGAAUGGCCGCGGUAUUUUGACCGUGCUAAGGUAGCAUAAUCAUUAGUUUUUUAAUUGAAAGCUAGAAUGAAGGGUUGGAUGAAAAAUUAACUGUCUUUAUAAAAUUAAUAUAGAAUUUUAUUUUUAAGUUCAAAAGCUUAAAUGUUUUUAAAAGACGAGAAGACCCUAUAGAGUUUUAUAAUAUUAAAUUAUUUCUUUAUUUAUAAAUUUUACAUGAAAUUUUAUAGUUUUAUUUGGUUGGGGUGACUAAAAAAUUUAAUUAACUUUUUUUAUUGUUUUAUAUUUAUUUAUAAAUUUUUGAUCCAGAGUAUUUUGAUUAUAAGAUAUAAUUACCUUAGGGAUAACAGCGUAAUUUUAUUAGAGAGUUCUUAUCGAUAAUAAAGAUUGCGACCUCGAUGUUGGAUUAAAA